rnacentral:lncRNA from 1 species
AUGGCUUUCAUCAUCUUCUUUACAAUUUUGAGCAAUAAAGAAUAAGACAUGAACAAACCACUUUAGAGGUGCCAGUUUAGCUUCAAUAGUAUUUCUGGCUCUCUAACUAUUUCAGAUCAAAUGUCAAAUGGCACCAGACAGAAAAUGUGGCAGCUUUGGGCAUCACUUUUUGAUCCAAACAAUGACCGUCAGACUAUCUUCUAAAUAAAUUUCCACUGCCCCUUACUUACCUCUUUACCAUCCCCACUUUCAACCCCCAAAAGACGCGAGAGAGGGAGAGAGAGAAGCACAUGCUGCACACAAUCUUUCACAGCCAUUCUUAGACGAUGCACCACUGCCAAGCAGCAACUUAUAAUUUAUGGAAAGUAGUUAACCUUUCAGAAGUUUUAGAAAACAAACUAGCUCAAACUUGCCAAUGCAUUGACAAGGAAUCGCGGCAGUGGAAUCAUGGCAUGGUUAAACGCUACGUCCACUUCUUCGUGAUAUUCAUGCUGUUGGGGUAUUCCUGCUUUUCACUGGUUUCCUUUUUCCAUUAGCUGGCUGUUGAUCAAUGAGCAAAAGUUAGGAAAUGAUUCUCUUCCAUCUUUUUCUUUUUCCUUCAAACAACUUCACUUCCCUCUGUGAUCAGCAACCGUCAAAGAUUGGACCUGGAUAAAUUUGAAGUGUUGAUGGAGCUUAUUCUCAUACAAAUGCAACAGAUUCGUUCAUAGGAUAAAUUACGAUAGCUAUGCUUAAAUUAAAGUGUAGAAAUUAAAUCAAAACUUUUUUUAUUAAUCUAAGUGCUGAAAGUUGAAACUUUUUUUAUCUCUGUGUCUCUCUCACAGACACACUCUUUGAAACUGCACAAGCCAGAGAUAUUGAUUCCAAAUCAGACUAAUUUCGAUACUAAGAUUCAAAGCCACCUGUUCAUGAUGCAAAUCUAAAGAACACAGUUACGUUCUAAAUGCUUAAGAUUUUCUGGUAAUACAUCCUUUUAUCUGGUAAUAAUUCCUUUCAUCAAGUCUAAAAUGCCUUCAUCAUUUCAUCCACCCCCAGAAACUCUCAGCAUCUUUUUGCAAAAUCAGUGACGUGAAAUUAAGAAUCCAUGAAAAAUCUCAAAGCAAAUCAGUACUGAAGAUUACACACACAUAAAUAGUAUUUGCCAGAACCAUUUAACAGGGUUCAUCUUCAUGAAUUAAAGAAUAUAUUCGAACUUCAACACGUAGAAAUUUUUUCGUUUUGGCUUCUUUAUGUGUGUGAAGGUGUCAAAAGAAGAUGGCUAAUGGUCAGCUCUGAAGUAGAACUAGUUCACAUAGUUUAGAGCAUACAAUGAGACCAUGUUAAACAAAAGCCCUGGCGAAAAGCAGAGAUAAGCACGAGCAAACUCAUACAUCUAGAUGGUACAAAAUAGAAAAAGGAAAACUGAAAUUAAGAUUCUUGUGUUUCAAGCUGGCAUUAACCAAUGUACAGGUAUUGCAUUGCCUAUGCUGCAAUACAUAAAAGAAAGUCUCUGUCAUUCAGCUAGUUGAUUUAAGAAAAGAAACCAAGUUUGCAUUGCCUUUGCUGCAAUACAUAAAAGAAAUUGAAAAAUAUACCUGUCAUUUGUGCUUGUGCUCAGCUGGUUUUAAGGAUCAUACACAUCUGAAACUAAU